UAUAUCAGAAUUUGGAGAGCCCUUUUCUCUCACAAACCUUGAAGAGUGGCGCCUCUCUACUCAAAACCAAGAGACAAACGACCAGCCCCCUUUUCUUCUUCACCAUUUUUUCCAACCCCAAAAUCAAAAGCUAACCAUCGGAUCUCCCUCCCACUCAUCUGCACUCACUCACUUCACUCACGUAACACACACCUUUAGAAGCAAAGAAAAGUGUUAGAAGUAGAGAAUUUGAAUUCUAGAUCUGAAGGAAAAGAAGAGCUCCAAAGAGCAAAACAACAAUCAAAAAGGGAUUUCCAAUACUAUUUUGAUUUCGGCUACAUCAGUGCAUUAAUUUCUGGGUUUCGAGUCGAUUUUUUUUGGAUUUUAAAUUGGAAUUGUUCUGUUGAUUUCGGCUGCUGCUUUUUUCAUUGUCGCUUCUGAACUCCAUCAGCUCUAGCAUGGCCUUUAUUUGGCCAUUGACAUUUGUUAGAUUGAUUCAUGUGCAUUAGGUACAUAUUCGAACCAUGAUUUGGUAGCUUUGAAGUGAAAUGAUGAAAUGAAAUGCUCAUCCAUUUGCCUCCUGAAAUGUAGUUGUUCGAGCUGUCAUAGUCGAAUAGAUAAUAGUUGAUCUGUAUUUGUUUAAGUUUACUUUUGCUUUGUGUUUACAUAAUCCCUGGAUUGUAUAACUUGGACUGCUUGGGACUGUUUGAGACUUUUAAAUUUGAUAUGUUUCAUCUAGUAGUAGCAUUAGUAUGAAAUAACUUAAUGUCUUAUUUUUGGUUCGA